rnacentral:rRNA from 1 species
AUUGAACGCUGGCGGCAUGCUUUACACAUGCAAGUCGAACGGUAACAGGUCUUCGGAUGCUGACGAGUGGCGAACGGGUGAGUAAUAUAUCGGAACGUGCCCAGUCGUGGGGGAUAACGUAGCGAAAGUUACGCUAAUACCGCAUACGAUCUAUGGAUGAAAGCGGGGGAUCGCAAGACCUCGCGCGAUUGGAGCGGCCGAUAUCAGAUUAGGUAGUUGGUGGGGUAAAGGCUCACCAAGCCAACGAUCUGUAGCUGGUCUGAGAGGACGACCAGCCACACUGGAACUGAGACACGGUCCAGACUCCUACGGGAGGCAGCAGUAGGGAAUAUUGGGCAAUGGUCGGAAGACUGAUCCAGCAAUGCCGCGUGAGUGAUGAAGGCCUUAGGGUUGUAAAGCUCUUUUACCCGAGAUGAUAAUGACAGUAUCGGGAGAAUAAGCUCCGGCUAACUCCGUGCCAG